rnacentral:tRNA from 1 species
UUAAUUAAGACCAAAACAGAGGUAAAUUAUUGUUAAUAAUUUUAUUGAACUUAAUAUUCUAAUUAAU